CCUGAUGCAGCGACGCCGCGUGAUUUAAAAGGCCUUCGGGUUGUAAAAAUCUUUUGUAUGGGAAGAAAAUGACAGUACCAUACGAAUAAGGACCGGCUAAUUACGUGCCAGCAGCCGCGGUAAUACGUAAGGUCCGAGCGUUGUCCGGAAUCAUUGGGCGUAAAGGGUACGUAGGCGGAUAAGCAAGUUAGAAGUGAAAUCCUAUAGCUCAACUAUAGUAAGCUUUUAAAACUGUUCAUCUUGAGGUAUGGAAGGGAAAGUGGAAUUCCUAGUGUAGCGGUGAAAUGCGCAGAUAUUAGGAGGAAUACCGGUGGCGAAGGCGACUUUCUGGCCAUAAACUGACGCUGAGGUACGAAAGCGUGGGUAGCAAACAGGAUUAGAUACCCUGGUAGUCCACGCCGUAAACGAUGAGUGUUAGGUGUCUGGAAUAAUCUGGGUGCCGCAGCUAACGCAAUAAACACUCCGCCUGGGGAGUACGCACGCAAGUGUGAAACUCAAAGGAAAU
rnacentral:rRNA from 1 species